AGUGAACGCUGGCGGCAGGCCUAACACAUGCAAGUCGAACGGCAGCACAGUAGAGCUUGCUCUAUGGGUGGCGAGUGGCGGACGGGUGAGGAAUGCGUCGGAAUCUGCCUAUUUGUGGGGGAGAACGUAGGGAAACUUACGCUAGUACCGCAGACGACUUACGGCUGAACGUGGGGGACCGCAAGGGCUCACGCAGCUAGAUGAGACGACGCCGGAUUAGCUAGUUGGAGGGGUAAAGGCCCACCAAGGCGACGAUCCGUAGCUGGUCUGGGGGGAUGAUCAGCCACACUGGGACUGAGACACGGCCCAGACUCCUACGGGAGGCAGCAGUGGGGAAUAUUGGACAAUGGGCGCAAGCCUGAUCCAGACAUGCCGCGUGUGUGAAGAAGGCCUUCGGGUUGUAAAGCACUUUUGUCCGGAAAGAAAUCCAAUCGAUUAAUACUCGGUUGGGAUGACGGUACCGGAAGAAUAAGCACCGGCUAACUUCGUGCCAGCCGCCGCAGUAA
rnacentral:rRNA from 1 species